rnacentral:rRNA from 1 species
AGAACGAACGCUGGCGGCAUGCCUAACACAUGCAAGUCGAACGAGACCUUCGGGUCUAGUGGCGCACGGGUGCGUAACGCGUGGGAAUCUGCCCUUGGGUUCGGAAUAACAGUUGGAAACGACUGCUAAUACCGGAUGAUGACGUAAGUCCAAAGAUUUAUCGCCCAGGGAUGAGCCCGCGUAGGAUUAGCUAGUUGGUGAGGUAAAGGCUCACCAAGGCGACGAUCCUUAGCUGGUCUGAGAGGAUGAUCAGCCACACUGGGACUGAGACACGGCCCAGACUCCUACGGGAGGCAGCAGUGGGGAAUAUUGGACAAGUGGCG